GGUUAAGUGACUAAGCGUACACGGUGGAUGCCUUGGCAGUCAGAGGCGAUGAAGGACGUAUUAACUUGCGAUAAGCCCAGAUUAGGUAGUAAAAACCACUUGAGUCUGGGAUUUCCGAAUGGGGAAACCCACUUACAUAAGUAAGUAUCGCUGCGUGAAUACAUAGCGCAGCGAGGCGAACCGGGGGAACUGAAACAUCUAAGUACCCCGAGGAAAAGAAAUCAACCGAGAUUCCGAAAGUAGCGGCGAGCGAAAUUGGACUAGCCCUUAAGCUUUUUAUGCGUCAGGUGAAACUUCUGGAAAGUUGUGCGAUACAGGGUGAUAGCCCCGUAACCGGCAACGCAUAUAAAGUGAAAUCGAGUAGGGCGGGACACGUGAUAUCCUGUCUGAAUAUGGGGGGACCAUCCUCCAAGGCUAAAUACUACUGACUGACCGAUAGUGAACCAGUACCGUGAGGGAAAGGCGAAAAGAACCCCUGUGAGGGGAGUGAAAUAGAACCUGAAACCGUGUACGUACAAGCAGUAGGAGCACCUUCGUGGUGUGACUGCGUACCUUUUGUAUAAUGGGUCAGCGACUUAUAUUCAGUGGCAAGGUUAACCAUCUAGGGGAGCCGUAGGGAAACCGAGUCUUAACUGGGCGUUCAGUCUCUGGAUAUAGACCCGAAACCAGGUGAUCUAGCCAUGGGCAGGUUGAAGGUUGAGUAACAUCAACUGGAGGACCGAACCGACUAAUGUUGAAAAAUUAGCGGAUGACUUGUGGCUAGGGGUGAAAGGCCAAUCAAACCUGGAGAUAGCUGGUUCUCCCCGAAAGCUAUUUAGGUAGCGCCUCGGACGAAUACUACUGGGGGUAGAGCACUGUUAAGGCUAGGGGGUCAUCCCGACUUACCAACCCUUUGCAAACUCCGAAUACCAGUAAGUACUAUCCGGGAGACACACGGCGGGUGCUAACGUCCGUCGUGGAGAGGGAAACAACCCAGACCGCCAGCUAAGGUCCCAAAUUACUACUAAGUGGGAAACGAUGUGGGAAGGCUCAGACAGCCAGGAUGUUGGCUUAGAAGCAGCCAUCAUUUAAAGAAAGCGUAAUAGCUCACUGGUCGAGUCGGCCUGCGCGGAAGAUGUAACGGGGCUAAGUAGUAAACCGAAGCUGCGGCAAUGCACUUUAGUGCAUUGGGUAGGGGAGCGUUCUGUAAGCGGUUGAAGGUGUGUGGUAACGCAUGCUGGACGUAUCAGAAGUGCGAAUGCUGACAUGAGUAACGAUAAAGGGGGUGAAAAACCUCCUCGCCGGAAGACCAAGGGUUCCUGUCCAACGUUAAUCGGGGCAGGGUAAGUCGACCCCUAAGGCGAGGCCGAAAGGCGUAGUCGAUGGGAAACGGGUUAAUAUUCCCGUACUUCUUACAAUUGCGAUGGGGGGACGGAGAAGGCUAGGUGGGCCUGGCGACGGUUGUCCAGGUUCAAGUGCGUAGGCUUAAGAGUUAGGUAAAUCCGGCUCUUUCUAAGGCUGAGACACGACGUCGAGCUACUACGGUAGUGAAGUCAUUGAUGCCAUGCUUCCAGGAAAAGCCUCUAAGCUUCAGAUUGUAAGGAAUCGUACCCCAAACCGACACAGGUGGUCGGGUAGAGAAUACCAAGGCGCUUGAGAGAACUCGGGUGAAGGAACUAGGCAAAAUGGUACCGUAACUUCGGGAGAAGGUACGCUCUCGACGGUGAAGUCCCUCGCGGAUGGAGCUAUUGAGAGUCGCAGAUACCAGGUGGCUGCAACUGUUUAUUAAAAACACAGCACUGUGCAAAAUCGUAAGAUGACGUAUACGGUGUGACGCCUGCCCGGUGCCGGAAGGUUAAUUGAUGGGGUUAGACUUCGGUCGAAGCUCUUGAUCGAAGCCCCGGUAAACGGCGGCCGUAACUAUAACGGUCCUAAGGUAGCGAAAUUCCUUGUCGGGUAAGUUCCGACCUGCACGAAUGGCGUAAUGAUGGCCACGCUGUCUCCACCCGAGACUCAGUGAAAUUGAAAUCGCUGUGAAGAUGCAGUGUACCCGCGGCUAGACGGAAAGACCCCGUGAACCUUUACUACAGCUUGGCACUGAACAUUGACCCUACAUGUGUAGGAUAGGUGGGAGGCUUUGAAGCACAGUCGCUAGAUUGUGUGGAGCCGUCCUUGAAAUACCACCCUUGUAGUGUUGAUGUUCUAACGUUGACCCCUAAUCGGGGUUGCGGACAGUGCCUGGUGGGUAGUUUGACUGGGGCGGUCUCCUCCCAAAGCGUAACGGAGGAGCACGAAGGUGGGCUAAUCACGGUUGGACAUCGUGAGGUUAGUGCAAUGGCAUAAGCCCGCUUGACUGCGAGAAUGACGGUUCGAGCAGGUGCGAAAGCAGGUCAUAGUGAUCCGGUGGUUCUGAAUGGAAGGGCCAUCGCUCAACGGAUAAAAGGUACUCCGGGGAUAACAGGCUGAUACCGCCCAAGAGUUCAUAUCGACGGCGGUGUUUGGCACCUCGAUGUCGGCUCAUCACAUCCUGGGGCUGAAGUCGGUCCCAAGGGUAUGGCUGUUCGCCAUUUAAAGUGGUACGCGAGCUGGGUUUAGAACGUCGUGAGACAGUUCGGUCCCUAUCUGCCGUGGGCGUUGGAAGAUUGAAGGGGGCUGCUCCUAGUACGAGAGGACCGGAGUGGACGAACCUCUGGUGUUCGGGUUGUGUCGCCAGACGCAUUGCCCGGUAGCUAAGUUCGGAAUCGAUAACCGCUGAAAGCAUCUAAGCGGGAAGCGAGCCCUGAGAUGAGUCUUCCCUGAUACUUUAAGUAUCCUAAAGGGUUGUUCGAGACUAGAACGUUGAUAGGCAGGGUGUGUAAGCGUUGUGAGGCGUUGAGCUAACCUGUACUAAUUGCCCGUGAGGCUUAACCAU
rnacentral:rRNA from 1 species